GACGAACGCUGGCGGCGCGCCUAACACAUGCGAGUCGAACGAGCGAGCGAGAGCUUGCUUUCUCAAGCGAGUGGCGAACGGGUGAGUAACGCGUGAGGAACCUGCCUCAAAGAGGGGGACAACAGUUGGAAACGACUGCUAAUACCGCAUAAGCCCACAGGUCGGCCUCGACCAGAGGGAAAAGGAGCAAUCCGCUUUGAGAUGGCCCCGCGUCCGAUUAGCUAGUUGGUGAGGUAACGGCCCACCAAGGCAACGAUCGGUAGCCGGACUGAGAGGUUGAACGGCCACAGUGGGACUGAGACACGGCCCAGACUCCUACGGGAGGCAGCAGUGGGGAAUAUUGCACAAUGGGGGAAACCCUGAUGCAGCGACGCCGCGUGGAGGAAGAAGGUCUUCGGAUUGUAAACUCCUGUUGUGGAGGAAGAUAAUGACGUUACUCAACAAGGAAGUGACGGCUAACUACGUG
rnacentral:rRNA from 1 species